GGGCAACAUAGCAAGAACCCGUCUUUACAAAAAUUAAAAGAUUCGCUGGGCGUGGUGGCAGGUGCCUGUGGUUCCAGCUACUCUGGAUGCUGAGGUGAGAGAAUCACUUCAGCCCAGGAGGUCAAAGCUGCAGUGACCUGUGUUCACGCCACUGCACUCCAGCCUGAGCAACACAGCAAGACUGUCUGAACAGCAACAACAAACACACCAAAAAAAACUAGUUGACUUCGGAAAAGGGACUGUCUAGGUCUUUGAAGGGCUGACACAGGAUCUGAGCUGACACUGUUUCCAGGGGCCCUGAAGCAUCAUGGCCCUCUCAUUAGGGUGCAGGCUUAUGGAAAUCAGAUGAUAAGCAGAAUUCCCAACCCGAGUCCUGUGGUUACUUCUCUGGUCUCAAUGCAUACUUGGGAUGUUUUUACCUAGCAGAGGGCGGAGCGUGUACAUUGAUCCCAGGUCUUUGGUACCAUAUGUAAGGAAGCGCAAAGUAGAAGCCUUUGAAACUCCUCACCCUACUGAAACCUUUCCAAGAUAGUAAGUCAGAAACAAUGCUGCAUUCCAGGUGUAAUUGCAGAGGUAUUUCGCCCUCAAAGACUUAUAAAGCAGUGGUUACCGUUUCAUCCCUUCAAUUAACCUGAAUGGCUCCUGCUAAAUCUUGGUGGAUUCAAGUAAAUGAUGAUGCCCUGCACAAACUUAGCCAAGUCGUGUCCCUGAUCACACAGCUGUGCUAGGUGUGGUGUCUUUACUGGAACCGAUAAAUGCACCUCUGGCUCUUGAUAAUGCAAUUAUUGACUUGGUGAACAUUCUUUUCAAUUGCCAGUGGUAAAGAGGAUUAAAAGCAGUUCACAUUUAUAUGGGAAGGACAGCACUGUAAAUGGUCUUGCUUCUUGCUGUCUGAACUCCCCUGUUCUCUGUCACAAUAGUCCUUAGGUAGCUUAUCAUCUAUAUUCCAUAUGACAUUGAUGAUGUCAUACUAGUUGGACAUGGUGAAGAAGGCCGUGCAUGUCAGAGGAUGAGCGAGAAGCCCUCAGAAGUUCUGGAGCCUGCCAUAUCAGUGACAUUCUCAGGGGUGCAGCGUUUGAGGGCAAGCCAGGGACAAGUUAUUGCAUCCUGCAUCUUACAAGGAAGAAAGAGGCACAGCAUUGAUGCACCUCUGUGUUUUGGAGUCAGCAUGCACCGCACUAGAGGAUACCUCUCUGACCCCUUUAUUGGGUAACGGGAAAACUGCCAGCUUUGAGUGGGGCCCAGAGAAAAAGAGGGCUCUGCUAAAGAUUUGGAUUGGGAGAUGGGCUUCCCUGCUGCAUAGAUCCAAUGGGUUACCGCGGGGGCUUAUUUGGGGUAGGAAGGACCCUAUAUGGCAUCUCUGGCAAGCUCCAACGGAGCAGUUGCAGUACACUGUCCUAGAGUUCUUGGACAAGACCAUGCCUUCUGCAGCAGAGAACUACUCACCAAGUGAGAGCAGUAUCAGGCACACUACCAGACCCAGAGGAGUUGGUGAACAGCAGGAUGGAUGGGAUGUCAGUCAGCCGUGCCCCUGGCUACCCCUGUGCUUGAACAGUGGACUGUGAGUGGCGGCGUCAUGCAGAAGGAGCACAGGGUCCCAGGCCAGCAUCACUAUCCAGGAGCUUCAGGCAUGCUCCGUGUACCAACAUGGGAUCACGAAUCACAUCGCCUCAGGCCAAGAAAGCCAUUUUAUAGCGAAAGAGGUAUGGUAGUGUGUGGAUGACCAUGGGAUCCACUGCUUCUCUAAUAUCCUG
rnacentral:lncRNA from 1 species